rnacentral:lncRNA from 1 species
UUUUAUCUUUUAUUUAAAAACAACACUUAAUUAAAAAGAUCCCUCUUCCAGUUAUCUGGUCAAAUACAGAAGUUGACUACUUUACGCAGAUCCCUCAUCCAGUUAUCUGGUCAACUAUUUGAGGUUAUAUUCAUUGCUUUAAAUCCUUAUAUUUGUUCAAGUAUUACUUAUCAUAUUUAUCCAGUUAUCUGGUCACUUACUUGUUUAUCAAUAUAUCCAGUUAUCUGGUCAUUUACUUGCUUAUCAAUAUAUCCAGUUAUCUGGUCAUUUACUCUAUAAUACAAUUUGUGUUUACAAUAUAACGUAGUAUUCA